rnacentral:rRNA from 1 species
UGCAGUCGAACGGUAACAGGUCUUCGGACGCUGACGAGUGGCGAACGGGUGAGUAAUACAUCGGAACGUGCCCAGUCGUGGGGGAUAACUACUCGAAAGAGUAGCUAAUACCGCAUACGAUCUGAGGAUGAAAGCGGGGGACCUUCGGGCCUCGCGCGAUUGGAGCGGCCGAUGGCAGGUUAGGUAGUUGGUGGGAUAAAAGCUUACCAAGCCGACGAUCUGUAGCUGGUCUGAGAGGACGACCAGCCACACUGGGACUGAGACACGGCCCAGACUCCUACGGGAGGCAGCAGUGGGGAAUUUUGGACAAUGGGCGAAAGCCUGAUCCAGCAAUGCCGCGUGCAGGAUGAAGGCCUUCGGGUUGUAAACUGCUUUUGUACGGAACGAAAAAGCUUCUCCUAAUACGAGAGGCCCAUGACGGUACCGUAAGAAUAAGCACCGGCUAACUACGUGCCAGCAGCCGCGGUAAUACGUAGGGUGCGAGCGUUAAUCGGAAUUACUGGGCGUAAAGCGUGCGCAGGCGGUUAUGUAAGACAGAUGUGAAAUCCCCGGGCUCAACCUGGGAACUGCAUUUGUGACUGCAUGGCUAGAGUACGGUAGAGGGGGAUGGAAUUCCGCGUGUAGCAGUGAAAUG